UACGAAGGGGGCUAGCGUUGUUCGGAAUCACUGGGCGUAAAGCGCACGUAGGCGGAUUGUUAAGUCGGGGGUGAAAUCCUGAGGCUCAACCUCAGAACUGCCUUCGAUACUGGCAAUCUCGAGUCCGGAAGAGGUUGGUGGAACAGCUAGUGUAGAGGUGAAAUUCGUAGAUAUUAGCUAGAACACCAGUGGCGAAGGCGGGCCAACUGGUCCGGUACUGACGCUGAUGCGACGAAA
rnacentral:rRNA from 1 species